AUUGAACGCUGGCGGCAUGCCUUACACAUGCAAGUCGAACGGCAGCACGGGGCAACCUGGUGGCGAGUGGCGAACGGGUGAGUAAUGCAUCGGAACGUACCUUUCAGUGGGGGAUAACGUAGCGAAAGUUACGCUAAUAUCACAUAUUCUGUGAGCAGGAAAGCAGGGGAUCGCAAGACCUUGCGCUGAUUGAGCGGCCGAUGUCAGAUUAGCUAGUUGGUGAGGUAAAGGCUCACCAAGGCGACGAUCUGUAGCGGGUCCGAGAGGAUGAUCCGGCACACUGGAACUGAGACACGGUCCGGACUCCUACGGGAGGCAGCAGUGGGGAAUUUUGGACAAUGGGGGCAACCCUGAUCCAGCCAUGCCGCGUGAGUGAAGAAGGCCUUCGGGUUGUAAAGCUCUUUCGGCCGGGAAGAAAUCGCACGGGCUAAUACCCUGUGUGGAUGACGGUACCGGAAUAAGAAGCACCGGCUAACUACGUGCCAGCCGCCGCCGUAA
rnacentral:rRNA from 1 species